rnacentral:rRNA from 1 species
CCUACGGGGGUGCAGCAGUGGGGAAUAUUGGACAAUGGGCGAAAGCCUGAUCCAGCCAUGCCGCGUGUGUGAAGAAGGCCUUCGGGUUGUAAAGCACUUUCAGUGGGGAAGAAAGCCUUGGGGCUAAUACCCUCGAGGAAGGACAUCACCCACAGAAGAAGCACCGGCUAACUCCGUGCCAGCAGCCGCGGUAAUACGGAGGGUGCGAGCGUUAAUCGGAAUUACUGGGCGUAAAGCGCGCGUAGGCGGUCUGAUAAGCCGGUUGUGAAAGCCCCGGGCUCAACCUGGGAACGGCAUCCGGAACUGUCAGGCUAGAGUGCAGGAGAGGAAGGUAGAAUUCCCGGUGUAGCGGUGAAAUGCGUAGAGAUCGGGAGGAAUACCAGUGGCGAAGGCGGCCUUCUGGACUGACACUGACGCUGAGGUGCGAAAGCGUGGGUAGCAAACAGGAUUAGAUACCCCAGUAGUC